UACAGAGGUGGCAAGCGUUGUUCGGAAUUACUGGGCGUAAAGGGCGCGUAGGCGGCCUUCUAAGUCAGACGUGAAAUCCCCCGGCUUAACCUGGGAACUGCGUCUGAUACUGGGAGGCUUGAGUAUGGGAGAGGGAUGUAGAAUUCCAGGUGUAGCGGUGAAAUGCGUAGAUAUCUGGAGGAAUACCGGUGGCGAAGGCGGCAUCCUGGACCGGCAUUGACGCUGAUGAGCGAAAGCUAGGGGAGCAAACGGGGAU
rnacentral:rRNA from 1 species